AACGAACGCUGGCGGCAGGCUUAACACAUGCAAGUCGAGCGCCCCGCAAGGGGAGCGGCAGACGGGUGAGUAACGCGUGGGAACCUACCAUUUGCUACGGAACAACAGUUGGAAACGACUGCUAAUACCGUAUGUGCCCUUUGGGGGAAAGAUUUAUCGGCAAAUGAUGAGCCCGCGUUGGAUUAGCUAGUUGGUGGGGUAAAGGCCUACCAAGGCGACGAUCCAUAGCUGGUCUGAGAGGAUGAUCAGCCACACUGGGACUGAGACACGGCCCAG
rnacentral:rRNA from 1 species